AAUUAGGGUGGCAGAGUCAGGAAAUUGCGUAAGACUUAAAACCUUGUUACCAGAGGUUCAAAUCCUCUCCCUAAUA
rnacentral:tRNA from 1 species